rnacentral:rRNA from 1 species
AGCGAACGCUGGCGGUAGGCCUAACACAUGCAAGUCGAACGGCAGCACAGUAAGAGCUUGCUCUUACGGGUGGCGAGUGGCGGACGGGUGAGGAAUACAUCGGAAUCUACUUUUUCGUGGGGGAUAACGUAGGGAAACUUACGCUAAUACCGCAUACGACCUACGGGUGAAAGCAGGGGAUCUUCGGACCUUGCGCGAUUGAAUGAGCCGAUGUCGGAUUAGCUAGUUGGCGGGGUAAAGGCCCACCAAGGCGACGAUCCGUAGCUGGUCUGAGAGGAUGAUCAGCCACACUGGAACUGAGACACGGUCCAGACUCCUACGGGAGGCAGCAGUGGGGAAUAUUGGACAAAGGGCGCAAGCCUGAUCCAGCCAUACCGCGUGGGUGAAGAAGGCCUUCGGGUUGUAAAGCCCUUUUGUUGGGAAAGAAAAGCAGCAGGUUAAUACCCCGCUGUUCUGACGGUACCCAAAGAAUAAGCACCGGCUAACUUCGUG